rnacentral:rRNA from 1 species
GACGAACGCUGGCGGCGUGCUUAACACAUGCAAGUCGAACGGAAAGGCCCUGCUUUUGUGGGGUGCUCUAGAGGCGAACGGGUGAGUAACACGUGAGUAACACGCCCUUGACUUUGGGAUAACUUCAGGAAACUGGGGCUAAUACCGGAUAGGAGCUCCUGCUGCACGGUGGGGGUUGGAAAGUUUCGGCGGUUGGGGAUGGACUCGCGGCUUAUCAGCUUGUUGGGGGGGUAGGGGCUUACCAAGGCUUUGACGGGUAGCCGGCCUGAGAGGGUGACCGGCCACAUUGGGCCUGAGAUACGGCCCAGACUCCUACGGGAGGCAGCAGUGGGGAAUAUUGCACAAUGGGCGGAAGCCUGAUGCAGCAACGCCGCGUGCGGGAUGACGGCCUUCGGGUUGUAAACCGCUUUCGCCUGUGACGAAGCGUGAGUGACGGUAAUGGGUAAAGAAGCACCGGCUAACUACGUG